rnacentral:rRNA from 1 species
AUUGAACGCUGGCGGCAGGCCUAACACAUGCAAGUCGAACGAGUGGCAGACGGGUGAGUAAUGUCUGGGAAACUGCCUGAUGGAGGGGGAUAACUACUGGAAACGGUAGCUAAUACCGCAUACCAUCAGAUGUGCCCAGAUGGGAUUAGCUAGUUGGUGGGGUAACGGCUCACCAAGGCCACGAGCCCUAGAUGGUCUGAGAGGAUGACCAGCCACACUGGAACUGAGACACGGUCCAGACGCCGAGGGGAGGCAGCAGUGGGGAAUAUUGCAAAAUGGGCGCAAGCCUGAUGCAGCCAUGCCGCGUGUAUGAAGAAGGCCUUCGGGUUGUAAAGUACUUUCAGCGGGGAGGCGUUACCCGCAGAAGAAGCACCGGCUAACUCCGUGCCAGCAGCCGCGGUAAUAC